rnacentral:lncRNA from 1 species
AUGCGGCGCUGUCCCUUUAAGACGAUCCUCCUCCCGGGGCCGAGCAGCGCUUCGGCGGCCCCGCCGCAGGGGGCAGCGACAUCCGGGCUACCGGGCGGGCUACGUCUGUGGCCCGUCGGACAGCUCUCAGUCCCCGCGGGACGCCCGGCCUGCUGUCGCCGGGCAAGAGGAAACCUCCCGGCCAAAAGACCCCCCCAAGCCCACGGUCGUGCCGCGGCGGCCGCGGCAUCUGCCGCCUCCCGCCCCCGUCUCGCGAACUCGGGGACCGAGAUACUGAGGCCAGCACGCGGGUCACGAACGCUCAGUCCCCGGGGCCGCGCGCCGCGCGCCCGCCUUAGGCCCGUCCCACCUCCUGCGCGUGCCCAGGGGGCGGGGGCGCAUCUGAUCAACCAAUCAGCACCAGCCGUCCCAGGACCGCCCCCGAAAUCCUGGUCGGGGGCGGUGCGGCUUGGAGAACUUCGUGGGGGGCGCGGCGGCUGGCAGCGGGUGUGGAAAAGCGGGAGCUGCAGAGGGGCUAGGAAGGUCGGCGCGGAGGCGGUCGCUCCGAUUCCAAAGCUGUGCGGAAGUGAAAGGGGCGGGAGCGAAAGGGGCGCGAGCCGCGCUUCCUUCCACUGUGUCUUCGGAAAUGCUGAUUCCUCUCUUGGCUUUGUGCUGUUUUUAUUCGCCAAACCAACUCCCCUGUAAACCGACUUCCCUGAAUCUCCAACUUCACCACAGGACCAGCCCUCCUUCUCUCUUAGCUGAGGGUGCACUGCUCCUGCCUCAGCAUCUUCUAGUGGCCUGUAAGCCACUUUCUUUCUUCCUGCAGGCUUGCAAGAACUCCCUGACUUUGAAAAAAAGGCUCCCUUGUCUUUGCUGCUCUGUUGCUGUCUCUGCUUUCAUCACCAAAUAAGGAAAUUCACAGUACCCACUGCUCCCAUGGCUUCCCACCACUCCUAGCUUAAUUUUUUGUCAUCUAGUUGUAUUUGACACAUCUCUAUGAAAUGAACACCAUGAUGUCAUCAGUGAACUUUGAAUUAUCUAAUCCUCUAUUUUACCUAAUCUGGUAAAGGCAUCAGAUUCCUUGAUUGUAAUGUCGCACCAUUGCCAUUGCCUAUUCAUCAACAUUUUAUCCUGUGGCUGGUGCAGUGGCUCACACCUGCAAUCCCAGCACUUUGGGAGGCUGAGGCAGGCAGAUCACUUGAGCCCAGGAGUUUGAGACCAGCCUGGGCAACGUGAGGAUACCCUAUAGCUACAAAAAUACAAAAAUUAGCCAGGUGUGGUGGAGCAUCCCUGUAGUCCCAGCUACUCAUGAGGCUGAGGUGGGAGGAUUGCUUGAACCCAGGAAGUUGAGGCUGCAGGGAGCCAUGGUUGCACCACUGCACUCCAACCUGGGUGAUGGUGCAUGACCCUAUCUCAAAAAAAAUUUUUUUAAUCUUGCUUUCUGUCACACUACAUACAUUUCCUUACCUUUUAUGAUGUUGUAUUUGGCAAUAAAAUGAUAAUACCAAUAGCAAACAUUUAAGGAACAAUUUAUUUUGUGUCAGGCAGAAUAUAAGAUGCUACACACACACAUUUUUAAAUUAUUAUUAUACCUUAAGCUCUGGGGUACAUGUGUAGAAUGUGCAGGUUUGUUACAUAGGUAUACACGUGCCAUUGUGGUUUGCUGCAUCCGUCACCCUGUCAUCUACAUUUGGAAUUUCUCCUAAUGCUUUCCCCCCGCCCCUCCCCCCCCCACCGCUGCUCUCUCUCCCUUAGCCUCCCAUCCCCCAAAAGGCCCCGGUGAAUGAUGUUCCCCUCCCUGUGUCCAUGCGUUCUCAUUGUUCAACACCCACUUAUGAGUGAGAACAUGCGGUGUUUGGUUUUCUGUUCUUGAUAUACCCAUGUUUCAUUUAACCCUCAAAAUAACUCUAUGAGGUAGAUGAAAUAAUUAUCUCUACUUUACAGAUAAGGAAACUGAGACUUGGCGGCUUACAGAGGUUAAGUGAUGCGCUCAAGAUGAUAGAUAGAGUAAGAGUGAGAGGUGGAAUCAAACCCAGGCUUAUUGAAUUCCACAGCAGUGUUUUUUGCCAGUAGAGCGUACUGUUGCUAUUCUGGGAAUCUGUACUUACUCUUUUCCUAAUUUCACCUUAAAUAUGAAACUUUUCCAGGGCUCAGUUCAGGUUACUUGCUCACCUGUCUAUAGACAUUCGCUUUCAUAGAGAAGUGUUGAUUUUCGUUGGGCGAACCCUCUCCUUUACUUACUUUGAAAACAUUUUACUAUGGAAAAAAUGUAAACAUACAUGAAAAUAGGAAAAGCAGUAAAAUGACAAGCCCCUUCCGCAGGUGCUAUCACUCAAGUCCAACAAUCAUCAAUUUCUGGCUACUCUUAUUUUCUCUAAACUCCGCCUGUAACCAUCUCCCACCCUCACUGGGUUAUUUAUUUAUUUACUUUUUGACAGUAUCUUGGUCUGUUUCACAGGCUGAAGUGCAGUGGUAUGAUCACAGCUCACUGCAGCCUUGACCUAGAGGUUGAGUGUCUCAAGUCAUUCACCUACCUCAGCCUCCAGAGUAGCUGGGACUACAAGGCGUGUCACCACACCCGAUUAACUUUUGUGUUUUUCGUAGAGACAGAGUUUUGCC